UACGUAGGGUGCAAGCGUUAAUCGGAAUUACUGGGUUUAAAGGGUGUGUAGGCGGGUCUUUAAGUCAGUGGUGAAAUCUCCGGGCUCAACCUGGAAACUGCCAUUGAUACUAUUGAUCUUGAAUUUUGUUGAGGUAGGCGGAAUAAGUCAUGUAGCGGUGAAAUGCAUAGAUAUGACUUAGAACACCAAUUGCGAAGGCAGCUUGCUAAACAAAUAUUGACGCUGAGGCACGAAAGCGUGGGGAUCAAACAGG
rnacentral:rRNA from 1 species